AUUGAACGCUGGCGGAAUGCUUUACACAUGCAAGUCGAACGGCAGCACGGACUUCGGUCUGGUGGCGAGUGGCGAACGGGUGAGUAACAUAUCGGAACGUAUCCAACAAUGGGUGAUAACUAAUCGAAAGGUUGGCUAAUACCGCAUACGCCCUACGGGGGAAAGCUAGGGACCUUCGGGCCUGGCGUUAAUGGAUCGGCCGAUAUCUGAUUAGCUAGUUGGUGGGGUAAAGGCCCACCAAGGCGACGAUCAGUAGCUGGUCUGAGAGGACGACCAGCCACACUGGAACUGAGACACGGUCCAGACUCCUACGGGAGGCAGCAGUGGGGAAUUUUGGACAAUGGGCGCAAGCCUGAUCCAGCCAUUCCGCGUGAGUGAAGAAGGCCUUCGGGUUGUAAAGCUCUUUCGCAAGGGAAGAAAACUUAUCCUCUAACAUAGGAUGAGGUUGACGGUACCUUGAUAAGAAGCACCGGCUAACUACGUGCCAGCCGCCGCCGUAAUAC
rnacentral:rRNA from 1 species